CAGCCACACUGGAACUGAGACACGGUCCAGACUCCUACGGGAGGCAGCAGUGGGGAAUAUUGCACAAUGGGCGCAAGCCUGAUGCAGCCAUGCCGCGUGUAUGAAGAAGGCCUUCGGGUUGUAAAGUACUUUCAGCGGGGAGGAAGGCGAUGUGGUUAAUAACCGCGUCGAUUGACGUUACCCGCAGAAGAAGCACCGGCUAACUCCGUGCCAGCAGCCGCGGUAAUACGGAGGGUGCAAGCGUUAAUCGGAAUUACUGGGCGUAAAGCGCACGCAGGCGGUCUGUCAAGUCGGAUGUGAAAUCCCCGGGCUCAACCUGGGAACUGCAUCCGAAACUGGCAGGCUUGAGUCUCGUAGAGGGGGGUAGAAUUCCAGGUGUAGCGGUGAAAUGCGUAGAGAUCUGGAGGAAUACCGGUGGCGAAGGCGGCCCCCUGGACGAAGACUGACGCUCAGGUGCGAAAGCGUGGGGAGCAAA
rnacentral:rRNA from 1 species